rnacentral:lncRNA from 1 species
AAGUCAAUAAAUAUUUCUACUAAAUAACCAAUACUUUUUAUAGUCUUAAAAAGUGUAAAUUGAAUACAGUCCCCUAAGUUCACUCGCAAAGACAGUGUGUAAGAAUACAUAUUUGGCAAAGUUUAAAUUAUUAUUUAAAUGGAUCGAGUACACUUUUUAUCCAUACAUUCUAUAAACCCACAACUUAUUAGUUACUCACUUUUUACCCACAUUAUGUGAAAUCUGCUUCAAGUAUAAUUUAAGCACUUUCAAACAACUGACAAUAGUGUUUUCCCAACUGACCUGCCACAUAAAGACCUUAACGUUCUUCAACCUGAAUCUAAUCUUCUCUAUAUGUUCACACCACAGCAAACAGCUCAUGAAUCGUUGACAUCCAAUACAUAAUCGUGGACCCCGGAAUAUACUUAACAAAACCCAUUUAAAAAAGAAGAAACUCUUAACAAUGAUCAACAGUCAAAUUAACAAUAUACAGAUACAGCUAUGUGCACAGCUUGCUUUCAUACACAUAAAUAUAAAACCUAAAUUAUUUUAUACAAAGGUUCAGAAAUUAGUUCAUCAGAAAGCAUGAGAGUAUUUUGUUUUGUUGUGGUGCUACUGCAAAGGGUAGGAUGGAAGUAUUGGAUAUGACUAGUGAAAACGAGGAUAAGAAGAAGGGAAUAGCAGACGGCAUUUACUUGAACAAGAAUGCAGGUAAACAGCAAUGAUUCGGGUGGUUGGAUCACGUCUUGAAUAGAUGUAAAGAGUAUCCGAUUUACAUUUACAUCAGUACUCUUCAUAAAUAUGAUUGCAAAGUAAAUAUGAAAUUUCAGCGAAGCAAAAUUAUUAUUAUUAUUAUUAUUAUUAUUAUUAUUAUUAUUAUUAUUAUUAUUAUUAUUUUACGAGGGAUGACAUAUUAAAUUUCUUGUUUGUAGAUACUGGUUUGGCUGCUCCUCUUUUGGAACUAUCACAAAAUGAAGAUGUUAAGCCCUCAGAGGAUUCAUCAAGAUGUUGCUCAUGCUUCAGCUUUUUGUUUCCUUCGGGUACAUACAAUUUAUUUUAUUUUAUUUUAUUUUAUUUCCGAAUUCCGUCGGUCUAUAUGUAAUGUGUUGUUUCUUCUAAAUUCAUGUAAGCACUUACGGAAUCAUUCAAAAAGGUUAGAAUUUUUAUCUUACGAGAAAAUUAUUCGACCCGAUUGUUUUGGAAUGGAGUCAAGACCUCCAAUCUAUUUGCACACAUUUCCAACAAGUUACUAUGAUGCAAGUUUAAUUUGCUUUGUUUUCCGAUUCCCGCCAUGAAUAAUUAAUUGCAGCUAAUAGGAUUAACAAAUUAUUAUUAUUAUUAUUAUUAUUAUUAUUUGUAAAUUAAGCAGGAUUCAAUCUAUUUCGGAUUUUUGGGAAGAAAUGUGAAGAGGAUUCUGAAAAGCCAUCGUUAGUAGAAAGCGGCAUUUACUUGAACACGAAUGCAGGUAAACAGCUAAACUAAUUGAUCAAAAAUUAAGAGAACAAUGAUUCAGGUGGUUGGAUCACAUCUUGAAUAGAUGUAAUUAAAGAAGAUCCAAUUUAAAUUUACAUCAGUACUCUUUAAAAAUAUGAUUGCAAAGUAAAUUGGAAAUUUCAAUAAAUCAAAUUUUUUUAUAUGAUAUUGUAUGAGGUUAAGUUUCUUGUUUGUAGAUACUGUUUUGGCCGCUCCUCUUUUGAAACCAUCACGAAAUGAUAGGACUCUGGGCUUAUCAGGCUUUUUCUCAUUCUUGAGCAUUUUCAUUCCUUCAGGUACAAUUUAUUUUAUUUCACAAUUCCGUCGGUCCAUAUGUAAUGUGUUUUUUCCUCUAAUUUGAUGUUGGGACUUAAGGAGUCAUCCAAAAUGGUUUGCAUAAUUCUCUUACGACAAAAUUACUCAACCCGGUUGUUUUGGAAUCUAAUCUAUUUUGCACACAAUUCCAAUAAUUUACUAUGAUGCAAGUUAAUUGCUUUGUUUUCCAAUUCCCACCAUAAAUUAAUUGCAGUUAAUACUAUUAAUAAUAAUUUUUUUUUAACUUUUAAAUUGAGCAGGGGCCGUUUUGGUCAACUUCGGAUUUUUGGGAAGAAAUAUGAAGAUCACUCUCUAAUUUUUACAUUUUUUCUCCCAUGUUAAUCCUUUUCAAUAACUACAACAGUGAAGGGCUAAGGAAAACAAUUUUUAGGUUUUUUAUUCGUAUUGAUUAACAUGGUUAGUUAAUUGGUAUUGUCAGCUUGAUAAAAAGUUUAUUA